rnacentral:rRNA from 1 species
AAUUUAAAAAAUAAAAAUAUAAAGAUAGAAAUUUUAUAUAAAAAUUGUGAUUUGGAUAAAUUACAAUUAUUAGCUGAUAAUAAAAAUAAAUCAGGUAUUUAUUGUUGAAUUAACAAUAUAAAUAAUAAGAUAUAUAUAGGUAGUUCUAUUAAUCUUACAAACAGAUUUUAUAAAUAUUAUAAUGUUAAUUUAUUAACAACACAUAGAACAUCUAUACAUAAUGCUUUAUUGAAGUAUGGGUAUAGUAAUUUUUCGUUGGUUAUAGUAGAAUAUAUUAUCGAUAAAAAAGAACUUAUUAAUAAAGAACAGUAUUAUAUGGAUUUAUUAGAACCUGAAUAUAAUAUAUUAAAUAAAGCAGGUUCUUCUUUAGGAUUUAAACAUAAUAAAGAAACUUUAGAUUUCUUUAAAAAUAUACGUAAAUUAAGUGAAGAAGCCAAAGGAAAUUUAUCUUUAGCUAGUACAGGAAGAAUUUUAUCUGAAGAAACUAAAUUAAAAAUAUCUAGUAAAAGAAAGGGUAUAAAACUUUCUGAAGAAACUAAAGCAAAAUUAUCUAAAUCCGCUACUGAUCUUAGAGGUAUAAAAAUAAAAGUAGUUAAUCUUUUAACUACUGAAGAACUAUCUUUUGAUAGUUUAACAGAAGCAGGUUUACAUUUAAAUGUAAGCAGAACUGCAAUAGCGAAAGCUUUAAAAAACAAUAGUAAAAUACAUAAAAAUUACAUUGUGAGAGCUAUCACUUAAAAUUAGUAUUAUUAUUUGUUAAAUGGAUAAUUAAUAGUUAUAGGUAUAUUAAUUAUUUAGGGAGAAGGACUUCAGCUUUACGGCUAGGGCAAAGCCCUAAAGCUUGUAUAAGAAGUAGAUUCGUUUCUGCGAAACCUAUAACAGUAGGCAAUUUAAGUAAAUAUCUUAGCAGGUACAGAAUUUAAUCUCAGGCAGUGUUAUAUUGCGCAAAUUGGGGAAUCGUGAAGAUUUUAUCAGUGAGUAUGUAGACUCGGAAUGGCAAAGAUAUAUCUUGAAUGAUCAGACAUAGAAUGAUAAGGUUGUAUGUCAAAAGGGAAACAGCCCAGAACAAGAGUUAAGGUUCCUAAAUUAUUUGUUAAGUGAAAGUAAGAAAGUUUUUAUUAAAGUCGACAAGGAGAUAGGCUUAGAAGCAGCCAUAAUUUUAUGACCUCGUAACAGAGCGCUUGUUAAGUUAUAAAAGCAUCGAAAAUAUAACGGAUCUAAACAAUAUACCGAAACCUUGUCCAUAAAUUAAUGCAGGGAUUCUUGCAUAUUUAUGGGGUAGCAGAACGUUGAAUUAGACUAAAUAGCAAGUUUAUAAAUUUGUUAUGUUAAUUCAAGUGAGAAUGGUGACAUGAGUAACGAAAAGAAUAGUAGAUUUUGGAAAUUUUUUUCUUAGUAGUAGCCUAGUAAGCUAUAAAAAUACAAAAGAAUAAUAAUCUAAAUACAUUAAAUAAUAGAUCUUAUUUAGUGCUUACAAGAUCUACUAUCCGCCUAAAGCUUAUGGUUAGAAUUAAGUAACGGCCUCUAAGCUUUUUAUCUAAAGAUGGAAGCGAUGAGAAAAUCUUUUAUUAUGAAACGACAUUUAUCUAGUGAAAAAUGUACAGGAAAUAUCAUGAUAUAGUAACCGUACCUAGAAACCGACUACGGUAAGCUAGUAGAGUAUACGAAGGCGUAAUUGAGAUAACAAUCAUAAAGGAACUCGGCAAAUUGACUAUCGUAACUUCGGGAUAAGUAGGGCUCAUUAUUCUUGAUUAAUAUCAGGUAAAGAGGAAGAAACAUAAAAUAAUGUUGUACGACUGUUUAAUUAAAACACAGCACUUUGCUUAAAGAUUAAAAAUCUAUGUAUAAAGUGUGAUAUCUGCCCGGUGCCGGCAGGCUAACAGAGAUAAUUGAAUAUAUUACUGUUUGAUAUUGAUGGAAGCCCCGGUUAAAGGCGGCCUUAACGUGAGGGUCCUAAGGUAGCGAAAUGCCUUGGCCGUUAAAUGCGGUCUUGCAUGAAUGGUGUAACGAUACAACAGCUGUCUCUAUGAUUGACUCAGUGAAAUUGGAAUAGCUGUGCAGAUACAGCUUACCACUAGUUAGACGAGAAGACCCUUUGCAGCUUUACUGUUACUAAUGAUAGAUUUUGGUGAAAAAUUUUCAGACUAGAAGGGAAUUGAUUAAAUGUAUAUGAGAAACCUUUAUUUUGAUUCUUCAUUUGAAUGAAUUGAUAUACCUACAAGUGUUAGUAUAUCAUCCUAGUUCAGCCUAUAUUCUUAGUUUAUUAAGAAAUAGGUAACCUUGGAAAGGAACUAUUACUAGGAGACAGUUUAUGUGGGGCACAGACCCUGUAAAGAGUAAACAGGUGUGUCUAAUAAUUAUUUUUAUUUUGUUUGCUAUUUUUAUAUAAAUCAUAUUCACUUUGAUAUAAUUCUAUUGUAAUACUUGGUAGGCUACGCCUUACAAGUUAUACUCUUAUAUUUAUAUCGAAAAUUUAGGUAAGAUUUUGACUAUACUGAAAUUAGAGAUAAUUUAAAAUUUUAUGUAUUACUUAGUGGUUCCUUUUUUCGUGCUAUUUUUUUUUAUAAAAAAGAUAAAGCUAUAAAAAAUCUACAAGCUUAACACUAAAAGUUUUAUAGUUAUUCGUAUUUAUAUACGAACUAAUUAUGUUUUGAAUAUCUAAAAAGCUCAACGGC